UCAGACGAUGCGUCAUGCAUAUCAAUAAGCGGAGGAAAAGAAACUAACAAGGAUUCCCCUAGUAACGGCGAGUGAAGCGGGAAGAGCUCAAAUUUGAAAUCUUAAAGGGUUUCCCUUUACGAAUUGUAGUUUAAAGAAGUGUUUUCUGUUGAGGUUUUGGUAAAAGUUCUUUGGAAUAGGACAUCAUAGAGGGUGAGAAUCCCGUAUUUGACCUUUACUUUCAACUUUGUGAUACACUUUCAAAGAGUCGGAUUGUUUGGGAAUGCAGUCCAAAAUGGGUGGUAAAUUUCAUCUAAAGCUAAAUAUUGGCGAGAGACCGAUAGCGAACAAGUACCGUGAGGGAAAGAUGAAAAGAACUUUGAAAAGAGAGUUAAACAGUACGUGAAAUUGUCAAAAGGGAAGCGUUUGACACCAGUGUUGUUUUUCUGAAAAUCAAUUAAAGAACUGUUUAUGCUAAGUUGUUUAGACUUUAUCAGCUAACUGUUUAGUUUUGAGCUUUUCUUUAAUGCACUUUUCAGUUAACAAGUCAACAUCAAUUUCUUUUGCUGUAAAAAAGCUUGAGGAAGGUGGCUUGAGAUUCGUCUUAAGUGUUUAUAGCCUCUUGCCUAUGCAGUCGGAGAGAUUGAGGUCUGCAGCGUAGAUCCUUCGGGGCUAAAUGCAUUUGUGCUAAGUUAUAGCAUUUCAUAGACAACUUGUUGACUAUGAUUUGUCUUGUAGCUUACUCGCUUAUGUUAUUUUACCUACGCUUAGGAUGUUGAAUCUGUGCGAGACUAC
rnacentral:rRNA from 1 species